rnacentral:rRNA from 1 species
UACGUGGGGUGCAAACGUUGCUCGGAAUUAUUGGGCGUAAAGCGCGCGUAGGCGGUUACUCAAGUCGGAUGUGAAAGCCCUCGGCUUAACUGAGGAAGUGCACCCGAAACUGAGUAGCUAGAGUACCAAAGAGGGUCGCGGAAUUCCCGGUGUAGAGGUGAAAUUCGUAGAUAUUCGCAAGAACACCAGUGGCGAAGGCGGCUCACUGGCCCGAUACUGACGCUGAGGUGCGAAAGCGUGGGGAGCAAACAGG